rnacentral:snRNA from 1 species
GAGCUUGCUUCGGCAGCACAUAUACUAAAUUUGGAAUGAUACAGAGAAGAUUAUCAUGGCCCCUGUGCAAGGAUGACAUGCAAAUUAGUGAAGUGUUCCAUAUUCAA